rnacentral:lncRNA from 1 species
CUUGCUCAAGAGCUGCUCCAUCCCUCUGAGCAUCUCAGUGACCUCCUCUGGACUCAUCUGUGUCUGAUAGGGCGAAGGCGGGCCCGGCCCAGCGGACGGUGGAGCAGAAAAAGGCUGGAAAACGGGAAAAAGCAGGAAAUUCAAGCUUUAACUCUCUUUACACAACACCUGGCGCGCAGGGAGGAAUGCAGGGUGAGCGUGGCUCCCUCUGAGGAUGCCCGACUGUCCCUGAUCCUUCAGGCUCCUCUGCCAGGACUCAGGUGAUUCUCACAGAAAUGCAGCCCCUCGUCCCUGCUGCUGAUUUCCAGCUCUCCUCUGGGCUUCAGUGCUUGUAAAACACAUCAUCAACCACAGCUGGCUGAAAGGUAGCCUGGCAGAGAUCAGGAAAUGAUCCUUUUUCAGCUGGAGCAAUUUCCCAGCUUGGCUCCUCGCAGAACUGCGCACUUGCCUCUGCUGUUGUGGCACAGGAGGAACAGGAAAACCAGGAUGGAGAGGGGGAUGUGACUCUUAGCUCUGGGCCAGGUGCUUUUUACCUCAGCAAAACUUGUUCUGAAUUAAAAUCUAUUCUAAAAAAUAUUAAAUAAAUAAAAUUGUUUGUCA